rnacentral:rRNA from 1 species
AACGAACGCUGGCGGCAUGCCUAACACAUGCAAGUCGAACGGGCCGUCGCAAGACGGUCAGUGGCGAACGGGUGAGUAACGCGUGGGAACCUGCCCCGAAGUUCGGAAUAACCGCGGGAAACUGCGGCUAAUACCGGAUGUGGCCUGAGGGCCAAAGGCGCAAGCCGCUUCGGGAGGGGCCCGCGUCCGAUUAGCUAGUUGGCGGGGUAACGGCCCACCAAGGCGACGAUCGGUAGCUGGUCUGAGAGGAUGAUCAGCCACACGGGGACUGAGACACGGCCCAGACUCCUACGGGAGGCAGCAGUGGGGAAUAUUGGACAAUGGGCGGAAGCCUGAUCCAGCAACGCCGCGUGAGGGAUGACGGCCUUCGGGUUGUAAACCUCUUUCGUCCGGGACGAUAAUGACGGUACCGGAAGAAGAAGCCCCGGCUAACUUCGUGCCAGCCGCCGCAGUAA